CCUACGGGACGCAGCAGUGAGGAAUAUUGGUCAAUGGGAGAGAUCCUGAACCAGCCAAGCCGCGUGAGGGAAGACGGCCCUAUGGGUUGUAAACCUCUUUUGUCGGGGAGCAAGACCCGCCACGAGUGGCGGAGCGAGAGUACCCGAAGAAAAAGCAUCGGCUAACUCCGUGCCAGCAGCCGCGGUAAUACGGAGGAUGCGAGCGUUAUCCGGAUUUAUUGGGUUUAAAGGGUGCGCAGGCGGCGAGUUAAGUCAGCGGUAAAAUUUCGGGGCUCAACCCCGACGAGCCGUUGAAACUGGCUUGG
rnacentral:rRNA from 1 species